AGAGUUUGAUCCUGGCUCAGGACGAACGCUGGCGGCGUGCUUAACACAUGCAAGUCGAACGAUGAACCUGGAGCUUGCUCUAGGGAAUUAGUGGCGAACGGGUGAGUAACACGUGAGUAACCUGCCCUUGACUCUGGGAUAACCUCCGGAAACGGAAGCUAAUACCGGAUAUGACGCACGGAGGCAUCUCCUGUGCGUGGAAAGAACUUCGGUCAAGGAUGGACUCGCGGCCUAUCAGGUAGUUGGUGAGGUAACGGCUCACCAAGCCUACGACGGGUAGCCGGCCUGAGAGGGUGACCGGCCACACUGGGACUGAGACACGGCCCAGACUCCUACGGGAGGCAGCAGUGGGGAAUAUUGCACAAUGGGCGCAAGCCUGAUGCAGCAACGCCGCGUGAGGGACGACGGCCUUCGGGUUGUAAACCUCUUUUAGUAGGGAAGAAGCGAAAGUGACGGUACCUCAGAA
rnacentral:rRNA from 1 species